rnacentral:rRNA from 1 species
GUGACCUGCGGAAGGAUCAUUAUCGAAAGCUUCGGCUUUUGUCAUCCUUUGACCCCUUUGUUGACCCUACCUUUGUUGCUUCCGUCGACCAUUUCCCUCUUCCAGAGGUGUUGGUCGGCGGCAGGGUAUUUGGAAACUAAAAUGUUUUGUCUGAAUUAUUGAGAUUGAAUUCUCAAAAUAAAACUUUCAACAACGGAUCUCUUGGCUCCUGCAUCGAUGAAGAACGCAGCGAAAUGCGAUAAGUAAUGUGAAUUGCAGAAUUCAGUGAAUCAUCGAGUCUUUGAACGCAUAUUGCGCCCUAUGGUUAAUCCGUAGAGCAUGCCCGUCUCAGCGUCAGCAGAAACUAUCAGGCUAGGCUUGGAUGCCAGGCCUGGAUCAUGUCAGAGAGGCAGAUGGAAACAAGUUCCUCUGCCCUCUGCAAAAUCAUGGAUAGUCUGACAGCUGCUUUAUCCCAACGUGAUAAGAACUUUCACUCGCUGGUAUAGGCAGAUUAAAAAUUAUGACUGUUCCUAGAAAUCCACAUUCUAUGAGACUUGACCUGAGAUCGGGUAGGGAUACCCGCUGAACUUAA